UACGUAGGGGGCAAGCGUUGUCCGGAAUCAUUGGGCGUAAAGCGCGUGUAGGCGGCUCGAUAAGUCUGCUGUGAAAGUCCAAGGCUCAACCCUGGAAUGCCGGUGGAUACUGUCGGGCUAGAGUUCGGAAGAGGCAAGUGGAAUUCCUGGUGUAGCGGUGGAAUGCGCAGAUAUCAGGAGGAACACCUAUAGCGAAGGCAGCUUGCUGGGACGACACUGACGCUAAGGCGCGAAAGCGUGUGGAGCGAACAGG
rnacentral:rRNA from 1 species